CAGCCGCCACGGGAAUACAGAGGGUGCGAGCGUUAAUCGGAAUUACUGGGCGUAAAGCGCGCGUAGACGGUUUUGUAAGUCAGAUGUGAAAUCCCUGGGCUCAACCUGGGAACUGCAUUUGAUACUGCAUGGCUAGAGUAUCGAAGAGGGAAGUGGAAUUUCCGGUGUAGCGGUGAAAUGCGUAGAUAUCGGAAGGAACACCAGUGGCGAAAGCGACUUCCUGGUCGAAUACUGACGUUCAUGUGCGAAAGCGUGGGGAGCAAACAGGAUUAGAUACCCCUGUAGUCCCUGUCUCUUAUAC
rnacentral:rRNA from 1 species